rnacentral:piRNA from 1 species
UCCAAUCUACCAUACAGGAAUCAUUCAUUU